GACGAACGCUGGCGGCGUGCUUAACACAUGCAAGUCGAACGGAAAGGCCCUGCUUUUGUGGGGUGCUCGAGUGGCGAACGGGAGAGUAACACGUGAGUAACCUGCCCUGGACUUUGGGAUAACUUCAGGAAAGUGGGGCUAAUACAGGAUAGGAGCUCCUGCUGCAUGGGGGGGGUUGGAAAGUUUGGGCGGAUGGGGAUGGACGCGCGGCUUAUCAGCUUGUUGGUGGGGGAGUGGCUUACCAAGGCUUUGGUGGGUAGCCGGCCUGGGAGGGUGAUCGGCCACAUUGGGACUGCGAUACGGCCCAGACUCCUACGGGAGGCAGCAGUGGGGAAUAUUGCACAAUGGGCGGAAGCGUGAUGCAGCAACGCCGCGUGCGGGAUGACGGUCUUCGGGUUGUAAACCGCUUUAGCCUGUGACGAAGCGUGAGUGACGGUAAUGGGUAAAGAAGCACCGGCUAACUACGUG
rnacentral:rRNA from 1 species